UCGAGAAUUUUUCACAAUGGGGGAAACCCUGAUGGAGCGACGCCGCGUGGGGGAUGAAUGGCUUCGGCCCGUAAACCCCUGUCAUUUGCGAACAAAUCGGUUCAAUUAAUAACUGAACCGUUGAUAGUAGCGGAAGAGGAAGGGACGGCUAACUCUGUGCCAGCAGCCGCGGUAAUACAGAGGUCCCAAGCGUUGUUCGGAUUCACUGGGCGUAAAGGGUGCGUAGGCGGUCGGGUAAGUCUGAUGUGAAAUCUCACAGCUUAACUGUGAAACUGCAUUGGAUACUAUUCGGCUUGAGAGUUGGAGGGGGGACUGGAAUUCUUGGUGUAGCAGUGAAAUGCGUAGAUAUCAAGAGGAACACCAGUGGCGAAGGCGAGUCCCUGGACAACUUCUGACGCUGAGGCACGAAAGCUAGGGGAGCAAACA
rnacentral:rRNA from 1 species